rnacentral:rRNA from 1 species
AUUGAACGCUGGCGGCAUGCUUUACACGUGCAAGUCGAACGGUAACAGGCCGCAAGGUGCUGACGAGUGGCGAACGGGUGAGUAAUGCAUCGGAACGUGCCCAGUCGUGGGGGAUAACUACUCGAAAGAGUAGCUAAUACCGCAUACGAUCUAUGGAUGAAAGCGGGGGACCGUAAGGCCUCGCGCGAUUGGAGCGGCCGAUGUCAGAUUAGGUAGUUGGUGGGGUAAAGGCUCACCAAGCCAACGAUCUGUAGCUGGUCUGAGAGGACGACCAGCCACACUGGGACUGAGACACGGCCCAGACUCCUACGGGAGGCAGCAGUGGGGAAUUUUGGACAAUGGGCGCAAGCCUGAUCCAGCAAUGCCGCGUGCAGGGAGAAGGCCUUCGGGUUGUAAACUGCUUUUGUACGGAACGAAACGGCUCUGGUUAAUACCCGGGGCUAAUGACGGUACCGUAAGAAUAAGCACCGGCUAACUACGUG